UGUGUGUGUGUGUGUGUGUGUGUGUGUGUGUGUGUAGCAGAAUCACGAAGAGCUAAAUCACAACACCUAAUUACUCUAGCAGACAUCGUCAGUCAGACAGACAUAUAAAACCAAGUCACUGUGGCUGGCCCAGAUACGAACCCUAACCCAGGGCCGGGUUCACUUACACAUAGUUACAUCAGACAUGGCAUAUGGUUGACAUGUGACUGACCGGGUAUAGAAGCUUGGUCAUCCGCUAGAUUUAUGAGCGUGUUAGCCCACUGAGCUAGAGUCUUGCUGUUGGGCCUAUCACAGAGUUACUAGUCCUCAAUGAACCAUGAUCCAGAAGAGGACGAAGCACAGAUGCACGGUAUGCAUGGGUGUGAGAAUGUGUGUGUGUACGUGACUUUGAACUUAUCUACAUCUGAAUCAUUUGUCUGACAAAUAGAUUUCCAGGGACAGGAGAGAGAGAGAGAGAGNNNNNNNNNNUGUGUGUGUGUGUGUGUGUGUGUGUGUGUGUGUGUAGCAGAAUCACGAAGAGCUAAAUCACAACACCUAAUUACUCUAGCAGACAUCGUCAGUCAGACAGACAUAUAAAACCAAGUCACUGUGGCUGGCCCAGAUACGAACCCUAACCCAGGGCCGGGUUCACUUACACAUAGUUACAUCAGACAUGGCAUAUGGUUGACAUGUGACUGACCGGGUAUAGAAGCUUGGUCAUCCGCUAGAUUUAUGAGCGUGUUAGCCCACUGAGCUAGAGUCUUGCUGUUGGGCCUAUCACAGAGUUACUAGUCCUCAAUGAACCAUGAUCCAGAAGAGGACGAAGCACAGAUGCACGGUAUGCAUGGGUGUGAGAAUGUGUGUGUGUGUGUGUGUCUCUCACAGAGUGAUGUGAAGCAUUCAGUCUCAGACUUUUCAUUACUCAGCAGGCAGGAGGGAGAAUCUUCCGGUAAGAGACCGCCUCCUAGACACUGGAAACACACACACACACACACACACACACACACACACACACACACACACACACACACACACACACACACACACACACACACACANNNNNNNNNNUGUGUGUGUGUGUGUGUGUGUGUGUGUGUGUGUUAAAUAACCCUUUCUGUAACAGGUCAAGGGGUCAGAUCACUUACUGGCAGUCUGCGUGACACACUGGUGUGUCAGUGUGUGUGUGUGUAUGUGUGUGUGUGUGUGUGUGUGUGUGUGUGUGUGAUCUUAACCACCAACAUACACUUAACUGUCACCAGCUUGGCAUGGGCUCAAUCAGUUGGUGUCAUAUACUCACAGGUAAGAGAGAAAAGACAGCGAUAGAGAGGGAACGAGAGAGAGAGAGAGCAACCUCUUUUGUGUCUUUAACAAAGUAUUCAGAAAUGCUUUGAUCUCUAGACCCCUAUUCUGGAAACACACAAUGAUAUUGGCCCCGACCCUGACCCCGACCACGACCCUGACCACGACCACGACCGAGGCUGUCUCAGGGAGAGNNNNNNNNNNNNNNNNNNNNNNNNNNNNNNNNNACACACACACACACACACACACAAAGCCGGCAGGAAACUCAGGAUCCCAUCUCGAGCUCUUUCUCAGAAAUAGACUACAACAAAGUGGCUGCUCACUCAGUUACCUGCCUUGACGCCAUGUUGAUGUCAGAGCUAACUUUUCCUCAGCUAACAGAGAUGUUUUGGGCCAUAAGGCAAGAGCUUGUCACCUCCUUUUCUCUCACCUCGUCCUUUGUCACCCACUGUCCCUACUGUUUCUCAUUUCUGUAGAGGAGGUAGAUAUAUGACAUAUGCUCUCGUUCACUAACUGCUCUGACGAGAAAACAUAAGUGAGCCGAGGUGAGGUGAGCUCCAAACAGGAAUGAGGAUAAUGGAAAAAAGAAAGUCACAACUGCAAGUUUCUAAAAUCAGUUUUUGCCAAAAAAGCUGAACAUGCGCAUUCAAUCGCAUGCACGCACACCCACACACACACACACACACACACACACACCCUGAGUCACCCACACCUGGCCCUCUCAUCUUACAAAUGUAUGUAAUAAGCCCAUCCCCCCAUGUGUCUGUGUCUGUCAGUCAUUGGAGGCUUGAUGAGAGGAGAAAGGAAACAUUCAGACUGUGUUGGGACGAGGCCCUAGUUGACACUAGUACAGUCAGACAGAGGAGAGGAAAACACUAAUUACACGCAUGUGUACUGAGAAUGAAUGUGUCAUCCUCAGCAUUUGCGUGUGUUUCAUCAUAAUUCAACUGGAGGAGACUGUAACUGAAAUAUUUAUUUCCCAUCAGAAGGUCCCAUAUCAGUAGUUAUUCAGCAGGAGUCAUUCAUCAAACUAUUUCUUGUAGCAUUAUUAAUCCCACGUGCUUUACCUACGGUGUUAAGGGAUUGUCUAUGUAUUUGCUUGCUAACAUGACUAGCUAGCCAGCCAAACAGAAGUGUUGAUUGAUAGAUACAAUUCCAUCAUCGAUGUGGGAGACCCUGAUAUUUAACAUGUUGUCAGAUCUCUGGUUUGUUCCCCCUCUCGAUACCCAAUAGGGUGACCUCCCA
rnacentral:lncRNA from 13 species